AACUAAAACUUAAAAAUGGG
rnacentral:snRNA from 1 species